CCUUGAUAAAGAAAGCCAACAGGGGCUUCCUAACAGCACCUUCCAAGCCUGUGUUAUCCUUGGGGUUUCUGCAGCCAAUGAAAGUUUGUCACGAUGAUGUAAUGCUCCUGAGUUGUGCUUCAGCCGAGUAUGUGGUCACCGGGUCUCAUGCCUGAGAGCUAGCUUAUUGUCUGCCUUCCCACUGAAAAGCAAGCUUCGUCCAGCAGCUUGGCACGGAUUGUGGUUCC
rnacentral:lncRNA from 1 species